UUCCUACGGGGCGCAGCAGUGGGGAAUAUUGCACAAUGGGGGAAACCCUGAUGCAGCAACGCCGCGUGAGUGAAGAAGUAUCUCGGUAUGUAAAGCUCUAUCAGCAGGGAAGAAAAUGACGGUACCUGACUAAGAAGCCCCGGCUAACUAUGUGCCAGCAGCCGCGGUAAUACGUAGGGGGCAAGCGUUAUCCGGAUUUACUGGGUGUAAAGGGAGCGUAGACGGUGUGGCAAGUCGGAAGUG
rnacentral:rRNA from 1 species